AGCGAACGCUGGCGGCAGGCCUAACACAUGCAAGUCGAACGGACCCUUCGGGGUUAGUGGCGGACGGGUGAGUAACACGUGGGAACGUGCCUUUAGGUUCGGAAUAGCUCCUGGAAACGGGUGGUAAUGCCGAAUGUGCCCUUCGGGGGAAAGAUUUAUCGCCUUUAGAGCGGCCCGCGUCUGAUUAGCUAGUUGGUGAGGUAAUGGCUCACCAAGGCGACGAUCAGUAGCUGGACUGAGAGGAUGACCAGCCACAUUGGGACUGAGACACGGCCCAAACUCCUACGGGAGGCAGCAGUGGGGAAGCUUGCGCAAUGGGCGAAAGCCUGACGCAGCCAUGCCGCGUGGAUGAUGAAGGUCUUAGGAUUGUAAAAUCCUUUCACCGGUGAAGAUAAUGACUGUAGCCGGAGAAGAAGCCCCGGCUAACUUCGUGCCAGCCGCCGCCGUAACAC
rnacentral:rRNA from 1 species